UCAGAAGUUCUGAGGGCCCCAGUACUGAGCAUCUCUGUGGGUGGCAAACAGGGUGCUCACAGCAGGUGCUCAUCAGUCCUCUUCCUUCUCCCAUCUCUCCUCUCCCUCCUCAGCUGCUGAACUGUUUCCUUCCUUCCCUCUGUGCAUUUCUCUCUAUGUGUCGCUCUCUUUCCCUGGCUCCUUGUGACCCUCAGCUGUGCCCAUAAGUCUGCAGUUACCUUGAAAGCCUGGAUGUGGAUUACGUUAAGAACCACAAGGCUGUCACAGCCUGGAAAAGUAGUGAGGGGGCUCCCUCUGCAGCCUUAUAGGAGAGGGCACCCCACUCUAGCCUGCAGCACAGGCAGGUCUGGUCACGGGAUCCUGGAGAAGCUGCAGACCCUUCCUUGUGAGCAGCUUUCAGUGCUGGAGCCUGAGAACUGCUACUUGUUUGUCCCUUCAGAAGAGGUUUAUAAACUCCAACUGGAAACUCCAUAGAACAGAUGAGGAAAACCUCUGUGAUGCCUACCUGCUGGUGAAGACUGGUUCCCAGGGACUUGACUGAAUCUCUGUACCGUCUCCCUCCGGGACAGUCAGUGCUGCCACCAUCCCCCAGGAUUGACAACUGAGCCCAGUCAAAGGACACCCUCAGAUACUCCUAAUUGCAGUCAGGACACCCUAUGCUUGUCACCCUCACCCCAGC
rnacentral:lncRNA from 1 species